rnacentral:rRNA from 1 species
AUACAGAGGGUGCAAGCGUUAAUCGGAAUUACUGGGCGUAAAGCGCACGUAGGUGGUUCAUUAAGUCAGAUGUGAAAGCCCCGGGCUCAACCUGGGAACUGCAUUUGAAACUGGUGAGCUAGAGUAUGGUAGAGGUAAGUGGAAUUCCAGGUGUAGCGGUGAAAUGCGUAGAUAUCUGGAGGAACAUCAGUGGCGAAGGCGACUUACUGGACCAAUACUGACACUGAGGUGCGAAAGCGUGGGGAGCAAACAGGAUUAGAAACCCGGGUAGUCC